UGGGGACAUUGUGAGGUGGCAGCCAGGUGUGACAGCAUGGAUGAGGGAGGGAGGGCAGGACAUGCUACCCCUUCACCUACCUGUAGGGGCCCCAGUGACCUCUGAGGGCCACCUUGAGCCUUGCAGACUCUGUCUCUGGAUUCCAAAGAGCUGACAUUCCCCAAGGGGCAUCAAGGGGCCACCUGGAGAAGCCCAUGGUCAGGGCCGCUCCUGGGCCACCAACCUCAGCAGGGAGAAAAUACAACAUGGUAGUGAGACAGACAGUCAGCGGAAGUAUAUGGGGUUCACUUUAGAUGGAAGAGGGCAGGGAAAGCCCUGCUGAGGAGCCCACCGUGUGACCGUCUGGGAGGAGUCUGCAGGGAGAGGCGACCCCACGGCCGAAGCAAGCUUGGAGCUCACUAGGAAAGGACGGCAGGGGGAGGGGACAGGCAGGUGGUCAGAGUGGGGGAGAGCCAGAGGAAGGGGCUCUCAAGGACCGUGGGGAGUCCCAGGGUUUGCGGCUUAAGCGAUCCCUAGGGCUACAGUGGAGAAGGGGCUCCCUGGGCCUCCCUCCCGAGCCAGGGAGGGUUUCUGGUGCUGCUUCCUGGACAAUGAGCCACCCUUGGCCUUGACUGUAGGGAGUUCCCAGGAGACUGGCCAGUCACAAAUGCUCAGGUGCUAAGGACUAUGUCGGGGAAAACUCAUCCCCUUGCCAUGCCCAGGGACCCAGUCCCUACCUAGCCCUGGCUUCCCUGGGACCCAUGCUGCUCCUGAGUCUGCCAGCCUGAGCCCACACCCACUGGCCCUCUCUCUGUAGGGUGACUUGGCGGGGGUCACGCCAGUGUGUGCAGUCAAGGAGGCUUGGUGACAGGCCGCCUGCAUCCUCUGGAGAAGGUUCUG
rnacentral:lncRNA from 1 species